CAAACGACUCUCGGCAACGGAUAUCUCGGCUCACGCAUCGAUGAAGAACGUAGCAAAAUGCGAUACUUGGUGUGAAUUGCAGAAUCCCGUGAACCAUCGAGUUUUUGAACGCAAGUUGCGCCCAAAGCCAUUUGGCCGAGGGCACGUCUGCCUGGGCGUCACGC
rnacentral:rRNA from 1 species